GCGCACUUAGCUCAAAUGGUAAGAGCAUCACUCUGGAAGUUGAGGUUGUGGGUUCAAUUCCCACAGUGCACA
rnacentral:tRNA from 1 species